rnacentral:lncRNA from 1 species
UUCUCUUUUCCAUGCCCAAGGGUUGGGUGUCUAUCUUCCACACACCAAGAAGAAGAAGGGUCUCUUUUACAGCAAGGAACAAAGAGAAGAAGGCUGCAGUUCAAAGGUUGAAGUUACAAUCAAGAUCAUUUGCUGAUCAAAGUUUAAAGAAGCAAUGAUUUUAUUUGAAGAAGAAAGAUCUACCAUGAAAAGAAGGAUUCAAAAUUGAUCCCGAUGGAUACCUGUAG